GGUCUCUGAAACAAUCCCUUUCAUCUACAGUCGGCGAGGAAAUUGCUACUGCUUUUGGAAAAUGUUUGGAGAAGUUGGGAGAAGCUAAAGAGUAGAAUUAAUAAGAUUUACUAUCCCCCUUCCCCCCUGCUUCCAAAUGCCACAGACCCCUAAAAGUCAGGCCACAAUCAAAGGCUGCAGACUUUUGAAGGGAGGAAGCCGGAGGAACAAAUGCAUUCCUAGAAACCAGAACACCACGUCCGUAAAAAGACCGUCAGUAAAGCCACAAGAAGAAACACGCGCGCGUGCACACCCACCCUAUAGACACAACUACCUAUAGAUGGAUCGCACGAGGCGUCCCUCCGUCUUUAAUCUAAUCUAAUCUGUCUCUCUCUCCGCGUAAAAGCCAAAGCGAAGCGCAAGCACGAGCCAGGAAUGUUUGGUUUAAAGGCUUUUUCUUAAUAAAAGUAGAAAAGAAAACAGAACCAAAGCAGAGUGAACACUCCGUUUUCAUGCCAUUAAAACGGCAUCUUGAAAACUGUUCAUCCUUUUUUUUUUUUUUUCCCUAGGGGUCAGGGGAAGGGGGGAAAAAAAUGUGUUUUUAUUGUGAACAUGUGUCGAGAGGACCCCGCCACAGAAACUCGGUGCCCGCAGCUCUCUCUGCAGACCCCCUCCGCUCUUUGUCACCCAAAUCCGCUCUUAGGGUGUUUGCAAAGCGAAACACAUCAUAAAUCUCAAGACGGGCUGGAACCUGGAGACUUGUAAAAAGAGAGAGAGAAGAAAGGGGGGAGGCGGGGGCGGGAAGGAAGGUGGCCAAGAGGGGCAUUUUGAUGAACUCUCUGCCCUGGAAUGAAGCACUUCCCCAUGACUCCGACUUAGAAGCAGUUUUCUCUUGGCACUAGGUGGGAUCGAUCCCCGUGUCUGGGGUUUCUCUUCUCUCUCCCCUUUGCCACGCUCGCAGUGAAGAACAGAUGUGCUCGGCUUUAUAAACGCUGACCAGCUGGGAAGGCUGCAGCAAACAUCCACACAGCUUUUCCCAAAUGCUGAUGCCUGAGGAGGCCUCUGGGAGGAAGACUGGGGGUCUCUCAGACACAUCUUGUGGCCUGCCUGCUUCCAGAAACUUCCGUGGGGUUCCCUGAAAGGGAAGCGCUAAAGAAAACACAGAAUCCCUGGAGCCUUUGCUUUGGGCACCCCACGUGGCUGUGCUGCUGUUUGUAAAGACCCGAAGCGCCCGACGGGUAAUAAUCCAGGGCCCUCGGGGCUGAGAUGGGGCUGGUGUGCGUGUUGAGGACUCAGGACAGAGGGCUAAGGCUGAGUUUUUCCUUUAAAAAACGUAAAGAGGCAAACGCUGAUUGUCGCACUCGGCAAUUAUUUGUUCCCCCCUCCAGAAGAUUAAAGGGGCCAUUUGUUUUCCUAAGUCUCAA